GCUUGCUUUGACAAUACAAAGUCUAAAACUGAAACACAAAAGAGAAGAUUAGCAAGGCCCCUGCGCAAGGAUGACACGCUAAUCCGUGAAGCGUUCCAUAUUUUC